rnacentral:rRNA from 1 species
UGGGGAAUAUUGCACAAUGGAGGGAACUCUGAUGCAGCGACGCCGCGUGAACGAAGAAGGCUUUCGAGUCGUAAAGUUCUUUUAUAUGGGAAGAUAAUGACGGUACCAUAAGAAAGAGCCCCGGCUAACUACGUGCCAGCAGCCGCGGUAAUACGUAGGGGGCUAGCGUUGUCCGGAAUCACUGGGCGUAAAGGGUUCGCAGGCGGAAAUGCAAGUCAGGUGUAAAAGGCAGUAGCUUAACUACUGUAAGCAUUUGAAACUGCAUAUCUUGAGAAGAGUAGAGGUAAGUGGAAUUUUUAGUGUAGCGGUGAAAUGCGUAGAUAUUAAAAAGAAUACCGGUGGCGAAGGCGACUUACUGGGCUCAUUCUGACGCUGAGGAACGAAAGCGUGGGUAGCAAACAGG